rnacentral:lncRNA from 1 species
CCAUCAGGUCACCUUCAACUGUAGGAUCAAAGCUGCAGGUAUUUGCACCUUCUGAUGUCACUGGUACAUGUGACCACCUCCACAACUCAUUAACAUUCAUUCUUAACUCUGCUUGCUUUCUUUUUAAACUAACUUUAUUGAGGACACAUUAGACAGAAAAUUUCAUAUAUCUAAUGCAUGCAUUUUGAUGAGUUUGGACAUAUGCAUACAUCUACGAAAUCCUCACUGUAAACAAGAUAAUAAAUCUAUCCUUCACCUCCAAAAGAUUUCUAGUCUCCUUGCUUUUCUUGUGUGUAAGUGGUUAGAACAUGCCCUCUGCCUCCUUAGCAAGUUUUUAAAUGCACAACACAGCAUUGUUAACUGUAGGCGCUAUGUUGUAUAGCACAUCUUUAGAAGUUACUCAUCUUGUAUAAAUGUAACUUUAUAUCCAUUAAACAGCUCUUCAUUUCUUCCCCUGCCCCAUCUUCUCAGAAUAGUCAAGUACUCACAAUGCAUUAUAAUAUAGUUCCUGCCUAUUUCUCUGUAUUCACUUCUCAUGUGUUUGUACUGACUGAUCAUCUUCUAGUACACUGGACUCCAUUCAUUUCACCCAAUACUUCAAGUCCAUUUUUGUAUCAGGAUCUUUAUGCUUGCUGUUCCCUCUGCACUGAGAGCUCUUCUACUCACAUUUCACAUAUCUCACAUUUCACAUUUCUCAUCUCAACUUAAAUAUCACCUUCUCAAAAAUGCCUGAUGAUUCUACUUAAAACUAGCCCUCAGAGACAUUUUCCUUCACUUCAUAUCAUUCAUUACUUUUAUAUUUUUCAUCACAGGAUAAUAUUAUUGUUAAUUUGGUCUACUGUUUAUGUAUUAUCUGUCCCUAAAAUAUAUUCUACACAAAUACAAGAAACUACUAUUUAUUAUGUUUUGUUUCAGGCACAAUGCACAAAGCAGUCUUGGCACAUUUGUAGAACAAUGUCUGUUAGCAACAAAUCAAAUAAAAUAAAGAAAGGAAGAAUAAAUUUAAUUAUUUUCUAA